rnacentral:rRNA from 1 species
CUCAUUAAAUCAGUUAUAGUUUAUUUGGUGGUCUCUUUUGUCUUUUUUUACCUACUUGGAUAACCGUGGUAAUUCUAGAGCUAAUACAUGCGCAAGGUCCCGAGCGCGGGGGGUGGGGCUUCACGGCUCCAUUCUCGCAUGCGCAGAGGGAUGUAUUUAUUAGGUUAAACAACCAGCAUUUUUUCAUUUCUGGUGAUUCAUAGUAACUCUUUCGGAUCGCAUUCAUG